rnacentral:rRNA from 1 species
GGGCUUGAAAAUAAGUCUACUCUGCCCACUGAAAUUAUUUAAAGGGCUGCAGUAUAUUGACUGUACAAAGGUAGCAUAAUAAAUAGUCUUUUAAUUGAAGACUUGUAUGAAUGAUUUGAUGAGAUAUAAUCUGUCUCUUUAUUAAAAUUAGAAUUUAAUUUUUUAGUUAAAAAGCUAAAAUAAUUAUAAAAGACGAGAAGACCCUAUAGAGUUUUAUAAUUUUUAUAAUUUUAAUUUUUUUAUUAAUUUUAAAUAUUAGAAUUAUAAAAUUAUUUUGUUGGGGUGAUAAAAAAAUUUAUUAAACUUUUUUUAAAAAAAAUUACAUUAAUUUAUGAAUAAUUGAUCCAUAAUUUAUGAUUAUAAGAAUAAAUUACCUUAGGGAUAACAGCGUAAUUUUUUUUUUUAGUUCUUAUAAAAAGAAAAGUUUGCGACCUCGAUGUUGGAUUAAAAUAAAAUUUAAAUGCAAAAGUUUAAAAUUUUUGAUCUGUUCGAUCAUUAAAAUCUU